rnacentral:tRNA from 1 species
GUGGGUAUGGUGAAGCGGUUAACACGGCGGAUUGUGGCUCCGUUACGCGCAGGUUCAAAUCCUGUUACCCACC